CAUAGACCAGUGUGAAUAGCUAUUGUUUUUAAAAAGCUGUUUUGUAUUUAUUAUUGGAAAGAACAUAUAUUGAUUUUUGUUACAUGGUGAUGGCCAUCGUGGAUAUGGAUUGACAGCAAAAACUGAAUAUAAGUGAAAGACUCUUUGGAUCAAUUCUGUUAAGACAAAAUUCAAUUUGCCAAUCGAAUCCUUUGAAGACCUUCAAAAAACGAGAACAUAUUUUGGCCCUUGAUUAAUUUGUUGCAUUAUAUUGGAAGUGUAUUACAUACUAUUUAUCUCAAUUUUGUAUUUUACCAAACAGUGGACG
rnacentral:lncRNA from 1 species